GACAUAGUGGCAUAGUGGUUUGAGUGUUGGACUAUGACUCUGGAGGACAGGGUUCGAUUCCCCGCUCGGCCA